rnacentral:rRNA from 1 species
UGGGGAAUUUUGCGCAAUGGGGGGAACCCUGACGCAGCAACGCCGCGUGCGGGACGAAGGCCUUCGGGUUGUAAACCGCUUUCAGCAGGGAAGACUCAGACGGUACCUGCAGAAGAAGCCCCGGCUAACUACGUGCCAGCAGCCGCGGUAAUACGUAGGGGGCAAGCGUUAUCCGGAUUUACUGGGUGUAAAGGGAGCGUAGACGGAGCAGCAAGUCUGAUGUGAAAGGCGGGGCUCAACCCCGACGCAUGAAUGACUGUUGAUCUUGAGUACCGGAGAGGUAAGCGGAAUUCCUAGUGUAGCGGUGAAAUGCGUAGAUAUUAGGAGGAACACCAGUGGCGAAGGCGGCUUACUGGACGGUAACUGACGUUGAGGCUCGAAAGCGUGGGGAGCAAACAGGAUUAGAUACC